rnacentral:rRNA from 1 species
CCUACGGGAGGCAGCAGUGAGGAAUAUUGGUCAAUGGGCGUAAGCCUGAACCAGCCAAGUCGCGUGAGGGAUGAAGGUUCUAUGGAUCGUAAACCUCUUUUAUAAGGGAAUAAAGUGUGGGACGUGUCCUAUUUUGUAUGUACCUUAUGAAUAAGGAUCGGCUAACUCCGUGCCAGCAGCCGCGGUAAUACGGAGGAUCCGAGCGUUAUCCGGAUUUAUUGGGUUUAAAGGGUGCGUAGGCGGCCUUUUAAGUCAGCGGUGAAAGUCUGUGGCUCAACCAGGGCCUGGCCGGGGAAACGGGGGGGCUGGAGGGGGUUGGAGGCAGGCGGAGGGCGUGGGGUAGCGGUG